rfam:Cryptococcus bestiolae CBS 10118 unplaced genomic scaffold supercont1.5, whole genome shotgun sequence.
GUGGGAAUAGCUCAGUGGUAGUAGCGGCAGAUUGCAAUUACGUAAAGUGAACGCAACACAUCUGUAGGUCGUGAGUUCAAUCCUCACUUCUCACU